CAUUCUGUAACGGAUGAAAAACCAUAACCAAGCUCUUCAAUUUCAAGAUUUCUCUGCAACAGUAGGCGAUUUUAGGGGAGAUUUUUUUUACAGUCCAUGGCCUUUUCAUAUUCAUCUUUCCGAUUUCUGUUAUCCAUUCCUCAUCUUAAGUUUCGUAAUUAAACGCUUAAAUAAACGGCAGCUUUCAAUUGAUUUUUCUCUACAAAUGGUCUGAUCCAUUUCGAAUGGAGCAUCAAUUCAACCCAUUCUACACGUACUGAAUGUGUUUUUUCAUUGGCGUAGGUUCGUAAAUCCACAUCAAAAUGGCAUCGCAGGUCAAAUGAAACCCACCAAAGGUAGGCUUCCCAGCCACACAGGAUAACUUCAAGUGUGGAUAUGGUUAUCGUUAAUGGGGAGGUAUUCAUACAAACUGUUUCCAUUUAGUUUGUUGGACUGUAUUUAGUCGAUUCUGUUUAAGUAUAGUGUUAAAAUACCCUAUGAGGUGCUCAAAUAUACUGUUGAUCUAAACAAUUGAUUCCACGGGAGACCAAAUUUCAGCUCUGCUACUACCAAGUCCCAAGACUAACUCAUGAAUCCAACAAUUGAAGUUACAGUAAGUUCUUAACUCAUGAAUCCAUAUUUCAGCUCUUCUACUGCCACAAGGGUAAGGUUAAUUGAAAAUCACCAGUAAGUUAUUGGCGAUCUAUACCAUCAAUGUUCCAGAAAAGGUCAUAUCUUUAGUGUUUCUUCUUGCAGCUUGAUGUUUGUUUGUUCUUGGAUUAAUUGCAGGAUCUAAUUGAUUAAUAUUACAAUAACACUAUCAUCAAGGGAAUGGACAGUACCGGUGAAGAGCUUCAAAGCAACGGGUUGCCUUGGUGAUGGUUCAAAAAAACAGUAAAGCGGUUCAUCUUUUUCCCUUUAUCUUGCACCUCAACUCUAUAUCUUAUCUGUGAUAAAAAAAAUUGAAUGAAAAAUAAAUCCUACAAUAAGAUUCAUCUGUAAUUGUUAAUCAACUGUAUUGAUACAAACCUCAACAUUCCCUCAAUCACUUAGAUCCAGGCCUAUACCAAUAGGUAUCUUAGAUUUCAUCAGUAAGAGAUUCUAAGAAGAUGAUGAAAGAUUUAGAAUGGGUGCGUUUGAUGCGUUAAGUUUAUGUUUGUUCAUGUAUUGGUGGAGUUCCUUUAAGGGUGACUGUUAGGUAUCUUUCAAGCCUUGGUUCCAAUGUAAAAAUGAGAAGGAUGAAUCCUUUAAGGAAACAAGUUUUGUCUCAGGUGUUCAACAGUUACAGUCUCAGGGUAUCUUAAUUAGAGACAGUAUUUUUUAGGUAUAAUUUGACAUGUAAUGAUUGUAUAACUACGUUUUAGUUUAUCUAUUCAUCGCAUUAUUACACUAAUAAUGGAAUAUUCCAUGAAUUACAGUUAAUUAAACACAAUAGCUAAAUUGACAAAGGGAGAUCUAAUAAUAUAAUUUGACUGUUAGUCUAUUCCUGUUUCAAAGUAUCUUAAUUCAUUUGUAUCUGUCAUGAAUAUUGUUAGUCUUAUUACUAUGUAGACCCAUUUUUGAAUAUACCCAAAUAACCCAAUCAUCUCAGGUGUUUAAGCUUUGUCGAUCGGUUUAGUCCUCAACAAUUUUCAUGGAGUCGUCUUUUAAGUCUGUCUAAUUUGGUUUAUGUAUCACUUAGUUCUUUAACAAAUUUUGGUGAUGGUAACUUUUUACCAGACACACUACUGCGCUCUGCAUCUUCCAUUUAUGAUGUUAAUUGUAGAGGGCUGUCGAUAUUUCGUAACCAGACAAACUGUAGUCUUUGUAUCUCUGGAUAGUAAGAUCAGCAAAUGAAAUUGUUGACCCACUAUGAGCUCAGUUGCGGUGCGAAGGACCAAUUGCUAGACCUCACUAUUACAUGAGGGACCAAUUGCAAGACCCACUAAGAGUUUCAGAUACCAUUGUUUAAUAAUUUUCCUUAGUCGUUGCAGCCAAAUGAUGACAGGAAUAUGGAUGUCAUGAUGCUUGAUCUUGCACAAACAUGCAGAAAACAUUAACAAAUCUGCGGCCAUACUUUAAACUUAUUCAUUUUUGUAAGGUUUGUGCAUUGCAUCCGUCUCCCGCAUAUAGGCAUUAGUGCUACAACUGUAGCACAAUGCAAUUCAUAAAGAGUUGCUUUUCUGCAGUUUUAUUUUAAAUUCUAAUUGAUUAUUGGCUGCUGCCUUUUGUGGGGGCAUGGGCAAGUGCUACGUACAGGUAUGAAAGCAACGAGACUAAUUUGUCAUGCCGCCUUCAACUGUCAAGUCAAAGUAUCGCAAUACAAUUUAAUGGCUAAGUUCAGGCCAUCAAGAGGUCAUGGAGGUAGAGUAGUUUUCCAAGCUAUUUGCAAAUCAGUUCCAACAUGUAGAAGUCCACCCAGUUUCGACCAAUACAAAGGUUGUAGAUCCAGCAACCCAAGUCUGCAGUCCGUAGAAUAGCAAUGUCAGUAUAGCUCUGUUCAAUAUAACUUUCUUAGUUCAGUUGUGAGUUUGGAGUAUUUGUGACUUGGUUCAGAAUUUGUUGAGUUGAUUUAUCCUCCAAAAUUA